GAUGAACGCUGGCGGCGUGCUUAACACAUGCAAGUCGAACGAAGAUGCCGGAGUGCUUGCACUUUGGCAGACUGAGUGGCGGACGGGUGAGUAACGCGUGGGUAACCUGCCUUAUACAGGGGGAUAACAGUUGGAAACGACUGCUAAUACCGCAUAAGCGCACGGUAUCGCAUGAUACAGUGUGAAAAACUCCGGUGGUAUAAGAUGGACCCGCGUCUGAUUAGCCAGUUGGCAGGGUAACGGCCUACCAAAGCGACGAUCAGUAGCCGGCCUGAGAGGGUGAACGGCCACAUUGGGACUGAGACACGGCCCAAACUCCUACGGGAGGCAGCAGUGAGGAAUAUUGGGCAAUGGGGGAAACCCUGAUGCAGCGACGCCGCGUGAGUGAUGAAGUAUUUCGGUAUGUAAAACUCUAUCAGCAGGGAAGAUAAUGACGGUACCUGACUAAGAAGCACCGGCUAAAUACGUG
rnacentral:rRNA from 1 species